CCUGCGCUAGCACUGGCAGUCAGUGCGCUCGGCUGAAACCCGAGAGAACUUGGUGCGACACCAAGGCGCAGGACC
rnacentral:tRNA from 1 species